GCUCGCCGACCGAGGAAAACAUGCUUUGCAGACUCGUCUCGAUUUUGAGCAAGCAAGCAUUUUUUUCAUUUUUUUUGAGUCAAAUGGCGAACCACAAAGAGCAGGAGGAUAUUGAACCCACAAAUGGACUCCGGAUCAGGUCCGACACCUAAUAAGCUUUAGGACUACCAACGAGGAGAAUUUUACAAAGAAGAAAUAUGCUGCUAAACCACUGUGGGAGAAACUCAUCAAAGAGCUGGAACUGGAGGGAAAGGUGACCACAGCACAAAUUGGCAAAAAAUGGAACACUUUGGAAGACGCCAGCACAUCGGCCUCAAGCUCUGCCUCCCCAGCUGGAAGAGGAAGCUGGAAGCUUCAGGCAUCAGGUCCACUUUCCCCCCGAUCCCCCAAAAAAAAGAAACUCUCUAUGCAGGACUUCCUUCAGGCUGAGGCCGCCAAAGAAGACAGAAGAUGUCAAAAGAAUGAAGAACACAUGGACAGGUUCCUGAACCUUUUAGAGAAAAUGGUGGACCAGACACCUCAUCAGCAGUAGCAGCACAUACACUGCAAACUUUUUUUUUGUACAUAUUUCUGUGCAAAUUUUUUUAUAUGGAACAGCACCUUUCUUUGU